ACACACAGCGGCGGGCAGCCGGCCCGCCGUCAGCAAGGGCUCGCUCUGGACUGUUUUCUAUGUUGUAUUUCUUGCUCCGUAUUUGUUUCCAUAAGGUGAUGUCAGCUGAGGACAGAGCAUUAGCUCCUGGAACCAGCCUGUGCAUUCUGUAUCUCGGCUAACACUUCUGCUGCCAACUGUUGCCUCCUAUCUUCUGGUCACAAAUCCUGUCUGCACUCACGCCCGAGGGAGAGGACAGCAUCCUACUCAUUUCAGAAAAGGAAGAAAAGAGAGUAUUAGUCAGAAGCUUUCAUUUGGCCUGGGUGUAUCCCAGACCCUUCGUUCCCAGCGAGGAGGACAGUGAAAACAGACGCGUGCAGCAAGGAUGAGGACAACUCGGGGUGGAGGAUGAAGUAACCUCUGUGCGCCCCAGGAGCUCAGAAGCAGCAGUCUGGAUGGAUUCCCCGCUUCCACACCGCCCGCCCGAGCGUCGUAUCCAGGGGCCUGGGGUCACCAUCCCGCCUGGUGCUGUGGACGCAUCCUGUGCUCAGUCCUUCGUGCCCAGAUUGCUGCCGUGGCCUCCUGGCUGAGUCCGCGCCCCGGUUCAUUCCGCCCACCUGCACCUGCUGAGCCUCCCCAAACCCGCCCUCCUCGAGGGAAGCUGGUCUCCAGGACGCCCUCUCUGAAAGAGGACUUCAGCUGCCUCCACUUUGGCCACAGACUGUCUAGUUGGGGUCUUUCCAGCUGGUCCCUGGGCUCAGAAGGAAGAAACUGUAGGCAAAGCAGCCCCUGAUGGAACUAAAGUGCCCGCUCACGUGGCAAGGACUGUCCCCAGCCAGUAAGAUCCCGCCCGUGACUGACCCCAAGACAGCGGUCUGUUUGACCUUCACUGUCCACCAGCAGGUGCCCACCCACCUUUACCCCACAUUUUCCGUAUGUAAACCUGGAAGUGUGUGCAGUACCUUGGAGAUAGUCAAAAAUAUUUAAACACCUCUAGUUUACGCAAUGAAAUGCAGAGGCAUCGGGGGUUGG